rnacentral:rRNA from 1 species
GACGAACGCUGGCGGCGUGCCUAAUACAUGCAAGUCGAACGAACCGCGACUAGGUGCUUGCACUUGGUCAAGGUGAGUGGCGAACGGGUGAGUAACACGUGGGUAACCUACCUCAUAGUGGGGGAUAACAGUCGGAAACGACUGCUAAUACCGCAUAGGACAUAGGAUCACAUGAUCCAGUGAGGAAAGGUGGCGCAAGCUAUCGCUAAGAGAUGGACCCGCGGUGCAUUAGCUAGUUGGUAGGGUAAAGGCCUACCAAGGCGAUGAUGCAUAGCCGACCUGAGAGGGUGAUCGGCCACAUUGGGACUGAGACACGGCCCAAACUCCUACGGGAGGCAGCAGUAGGGAAUCUUCCGCAAUGGACGCAAGUCUGACGGAGCAACGCCGCGUGAGUGAAGAAGGUCUUCGGAUCGUAAAGCUCUGUUGUUAGAGAAGAACAGCGCAUAGAGUAACUGUUAUGCGUGCGACAGUAUCUAACCAGAAAGCCACGGCUAACUACGUG